rnacentral:rRNA from 1 species
AUUGAACGCUGGCGGCAGGCUUAACACAUGCAAGUCGAGCGGAGAUGAGGUGCUUGCACCUUAUCUUAGCGGCGGACGGGUGAGUAAUGCUUAGGAAUCUGCCUAUUAGUGGGGGACAACAUUCCGAAAGGAAUGCUAAUACCGCAUACGUCCUACGGGAGAAAGCAGGGGAUCUUCGGACCUUGCGCUAAUAGAUGAGCCAAAGUCGGAUUAGCUAGUUGGUGGGGUAAAGGCCUACCAAGGCGACGAUCUGUAGCGGGUCUGAGAGGAUGAUCCGCCACACUGGGACUGAGACACGGCCCAGACUCCUACGGGAGGCAGCAGUGGGGAAUAUUGGACAAUGGGGGGAACCCUGAUCCAGCCAUGCCGCGUGUGUGAAGAAGGCCUUAUGGUUGUAAAGCACUUUAAGCGAGGAGGAGGCUACUGAGACUAAUACUCUUGGAUAGUGGACGUUACUCGCAGAGUAAGCACCGGCUAACUCUGUGCCAGCCGCCGCCGUAA